rnacentral:rRNA from 1 species
CUGGCUCAGGAUGAACGCUAGCUACAGGCUUAACACAUGCAAGUCGAGGGGCAUCAGGAGACUAGCUUGCUAGUUUCGCUGGCGACCGGCGCACGGGUGCGUAACACGUAUCCAACCUACCCAUGGCUCAGGGAUAGCCUUUCGAAAGAAAGAUUAAUACCUGAUGGUUUCCUUCACCCGCAUGGGUGUAUGAAUAAAGAUUCAUCGGCGAUGAAUGGGGAUGCGUCCGAUUAGCUUGUUGGCGGGGUAACGGCCCACCAAGGCGACGAUCGGUAGGGCUCUGAGAGGAGGAUCCCCCACACUGGAACUGAGACACGGUCCAGACUCCUACGGGAGGCAGCAGUGAGGAAUAUUGGUCAAUGGGCGAAGGCCUGAACCAGCCAAAAGUAGCGUGAGGGACGACUGCCCUAUGGGUUGUAAACCUCUUUUGUUUGGGAAUAAAGGACCCCACGCGUGGGGUUUUGCAUGUACCUUACGAAUAAGCAUCGGCUAAUUCCGUGCCAGCCGCAGC